GAUGAACCACUUCGGUGGGGAUUAGUGGCGAACGGGUGAGUAACACGUGGGCAAUCUGCCCUUCACUCUGGGACAAGCCCUGGAAACGGGGUCUAAUACCGGAUAUCACUUCCACUCGCAUGGGUGGGGGUUGAAAGCUCCGGCGGUGAAGGAUGAGCCCGCGGCCUAUCAGCUUGUUGGUGAGGUAACGGCUCACCAAGGCGACGACGGGUAGCCGGCCUGAGAGGGCGACCGGCCACACUGGGACUGAGACACGGCCCAGACUCCUACGGGAGGCAGCAGUGGGGAAUAUUGCACAAUGGGCGAAAGCCUGAUGCAGCGACGCCGCGUGAGGGAUGACGGCCUUCGGGUUGUAAACCUCUUUCAGCAGGGAAGAAGCGAAAGUGACGGUACCUGCAGAAGAAGCGCCGGCUAACUACGUGCCA
rnacentral:rRNA from 1 species